rnacentral:rRNA from 1 species
UCAGGACGAACGCUGGCGGCGUGCUUCAUACAUGCAAGUCGAACGAUAAGGUCUCUUCGGAGAUACAUAAGUGGCGGACGGGUGAGUAAAAUGUAGAGAAUCUGCCCUAGAGAGGGGGACAACAGAGGGAAACUUCUGCUAAUACCCCAUAUGAGCGUAGCUGAGAUGCUAUUCUUGAAAACUCCGGUGCUCUGGGAUGAGUCUGCAUCUGAUUAGCUAGUUGGGGGUGUAAUGGACCACCAAGGCGACGAUCAGUAGCUGGUUUGAGAGGAUGAUCAGCCACAAUGGGACUGAGACACGGCCCAUACUCCUACGGGAGGCAGCAGUAGGGAAUUUUGCGCAAUGGGGGAAACCCUGACGCAGCAACGCCGCGUGACCGAUGAAGCCCUUCGGGGUGUAAAGGUCUGUCAGUGGGGACGAAACUUGACGGUACCCACAGAGGAAGCAUCGGCUAACUCCGUGCCAGCAGCAGC